rnacentral:rRNA from 1 species
ACGGGGUGCAGCAGGCGCGAAAACUUCACACUGGGGGAACCCCGAUGAGGGAAAUCCUAGUGCUAGGACCAUUUGUUCUAGCUUUUCUCAAAGCGUAGAUAACUUGAGGAAUAAGGGCUGGGUAAGACGGGUGCCAGCCGCCGCGGUAAUACCUGCAGCCCAAGUGGUGGUCGAUUUUAUUGAGUCUAAAACGUUCGUAGCCGGUUUGGUAAAUCUUUGGGUAAAUCGGGAGGCUCAACUUUCCGACUUCCGAAGAGACUGCCAAACUUGGGACCGGGAGAGGCUAGAGGUACUUCUGGGGUAGGGGUAAAAUCCUGUAAUCCUAGAAGGACCACCGGUGGCGAAGGCGUCUAGCUAGAACGGAUCCGACGGUGAGGGACGAAGCCCUGGGUCGCAAACGGGAUUAGAUACCCCGGUAGUCCAGGGUGUAAACGCUGCCGACUUGGUGUUGGAGGCCCUUCGGGGGCAUUCAGUGCCGGAGAGAAGUUGUUAAGUCGGCUACUUGGGGAGUACGUCCGCAAGGAUGAAACUUAAAGGAAUUGGCGGGGGAGCAC